rnacentral:rRNA from 1 species
AUUGAACGCUGGCGGCAGGCCUAACACACGCAAGUCGAGUGGAUGAACGGAGCUAGCUCCUGGAUUCAGCGGCGGACGGGUGCGUAAUGCCUAGGAAUCUGCCUGGAAGUGGGGGAUACCGUUCGGCCACGGGCGCUAAUACCGCAUACGUUCAGAGGGCGAAAGUGGGGGACCUUCGGACCUCACGCUAUCAGAUGAGCCUAGGUCGGAUUAGCUAGUUGGUGGGGUAAAGGCCUACCAAGGCGACGAUCCGUAACUGGUCUGAGAGGCUGAUCAGUCACCCUCACACGGGGACACGGUCCAGACUCCUACGGGUGUCAGCGGUGGGGAAUAUUGAACCAUGAGCGAAAACCUGAUCCAGCCAUGCCGCAAGUGUGAAGAAGGUCUUCGGAUUCUAAAACACUAUAAGUUGUGACGACGGGGAGUAAGUUAAUACCUUGCUGUUUUGACGUUACCAACAGAAUAAGCAGGCCCUGACUUGUUG